UGCCAGCCGCCGCGGUAAUACGGAGGGUGCAAGCGUUGCUCGGAAUCACUGGGCGUAAAGCGUACGCAGGCGGUUUAUCAAGUCGGGUGUGAAAUCCCGGAGCUCAACUCCGGAACUGCGCCCGAAACUGGUAGACUUGAAUACGGGAGAGGUAAGCGGAAUUCCUGGUGUAGAGGUGAAAUUCGUAGAUAUCAGGAGGAACACCAGUGGCGAAAGCGGCUCCCUGGCCAAAGACUGACGCUCAUGUGCGAAAGUGUGGGUAGCGAACAGGAUUAGAUA
rnacentral:rRNA from 1 species